UACCAGACUCCUACGGGAGGCAGCAGUGGGGAAUAUUGGGCAAUGGGCGCAAGCCUGACCCAGCAACGCCGCGUGAAGGAAGAAGGCCCUCGGGUUGUAAACUUCUUUUAUUCGGGACGAAACAAAUGACGGUACCGAAUGAAUAAGCCACGGCUAACUCCGUGCCAGCAGCCGCGGUAAUACGGAGGAUGCGAGCGUUAUCCGGAUUUAUUGGGUUUAAAGGGUGCGCAGGCGGAGGUGCAAGUCAGUGGUCAAAUUGCGGGGCUCAACCCCGUACUGCCGUUGAAACUGCAUCCCUUGAGUGCGCGAGAAGUAUGCGGAAUGCGUGGUGUAGCGGUGAAAUGCAUAGAUAUCACGCAGAACUCCGGUUGCGAAGGCAGCAUACCGGCGCGCAACUGACGCUCAUGCACGAAAGCGUGGGUAUCGAACAGGAUUAGAUACCCCCGUAC
rnacentral:rRNA from 1 species